CCGCGCUUCCCGCAACAGUGAAAUGGGGCGGGAGCGGGGACGGCCUGGGCCGGGUGGGGCCGCGGUCCUGAGCCUGGCGUGGCUGCCCUUCCGUCCUCCGGCCCCGUCACCUCUCGCAGGGUUAAGGGGCACUGCUGGGACCUUCCCCGGGUUGAGCCUCCAGGUGGCAGGGGGUCCCCGCCGCUUCCUCCUCUGUGUGCAGGGCCGGGGUUGCGUGACCCCGCGGGCAGUGGGCAGCAGGAAGCUCGGGCUGUGCGGCCGCGUGGCAGAGCGGACGACGGACUUGCGUCCGAGUGACGGGGCGCGGGCUGCAGACUGGCUUAAGCCCUCGGUGGCAGACGAAUGUGCCCAGGCUAAGCUCAGGGGACGUGUGUGGCCCCGUGCUAUGGGCCCGCUGUGAGGGUGCCGCCAGGCCGUCGAUCACUGCCUGGACGUGAGGAGUGUGGUGGUGAAGGACACUCCCUGGACAGAGUCGCUUCCCAUCACGGCUUCCCCGCCGGACCGCACCUCCCGGAGCCCUGGCGCCAGCCAGCCCGGUUUAGCGGCCGGACCGGGCUCCCCCGCGGUCCCAGGUCUGGUUGGGGUGGGGGCCGCGGCCUCGGUGACCCCAGCCCGCAGCGGCCCGGCCCGUCCCGUCCACUUAAACAAAUUGCCGCUGACAGGCGCGCAGUCUCUCUGGAGCCGCCGCCCUCCCGUCGCCUCCCUCCCGUCCCAAUUAUCCCGCGCAGGGUGGGGCCAACUGGCUGGGAUGGGGCGGGGGACGCGGGGAGAGCGGGCGGCUCGACUCCCUCCUGGUCGCGGGGUGGCCCGGGGAAGCGUCUCCGCAGCCACGGCCUGUGUGGCCCCGUCCCUGGUCUUCCCGGGGGAUGCGAGGGCAAGGCCCAGCCUGGCAGCUGUGGGCCCUGGAAGGGCGUCGUUCUGCACCUAAGGGCGAGAUCACGCGGCCGAGAACCAAGGCCGCAUCCCGGAUGGACUUCGGGUGACUUUCCCGGAGUUCUGGGGAAUCCCCUAACCCGGGGAGCUGCAGACGACUCACUGGCCCCGGGCCGCGGUUCCGCGGGUGGCCGCUGUACGCUUGAGACACCUGGUCCGCAGAAGUCAGGUGCACGUCUGUGCACCGUCGUGCGUUGGAUGUGCAUGGAGGCGAGAUCGUGGUUAUGGAUGUCUGGGAUCACGGGAGCGUGAACGGGGCGAUCGACUGAGUGACUUGAGAGACGGGGUAGAGCGCAGGAAGGACCCCUAGGACGGGCCCACCUGCGACGGGCGGCGGUGGGGGAGUGGGGGGCUUGCCGGCGCGUUCACAGGCUCUGGGUUCGCGUUCGGAAACGCUUUCGCAGGGAGCGGGUCGGGAUUCCCCGGAGCAGCACGGUGACGGCGUGCCACAAUCCGGGCUCCAGCUGUGCCGCCUCCGCCCUCCCCAUCCCUGCUAAGGGGCACCUGGCCUGGCUGUCAACUUCCCCUCGAACCAUGGGUUUGCCUUGUGGACCCGCAGCUUCCCCUCUGCCUGCUUCUGCUCUGUCGCGCCUUCGGAAGGGCAUGCUGCUCUCUCCCCUCCACUCCCUCCUUUACACAUGAGGACCCUGAAUCCCAGAGGUGCAGUCAUGUACCCAAGGCCACGUACCUGCUGGUGGCAGAGCUGGGAUGGGACCCUGGGACCUUAAAGAGAGCAAGUCCAAACCCACUCCUAAGAAGCCGGUGCUGCUGAGCUGCCUACCCCUGCUCCUACAGCAAGGUGAUCCUGAGAUGCCAGGGCUGCCACCCUCCCCUGGGCUCUUGCUCUGAAUUCGAGACAUACAGGAUGCACUGUCCCUUUGCCUCUAGAGCCUCCAGUUCUAGGUCUGCAGUGGGAGGGCUGCCUUCCAGCUACACAGGGGCAAGGGAGCAGCUGCAAAUUCAGUCUCUCAGCCCAGGCAGGAAGCCUGAUGGAGUCAGGAUGGGGAUCAGUGGGGUCAGCAUUCUGGAUGGGAUAGGGGCACAGGACAGGGAGGUCAGUUCGGAUUUGGGUCCCUCUAAGGGAACUGGCCAGGGUGUGAAGCAGCCAGGUGCAGACAGGGAUAGGCUCACUAGGCGUGUGACUUUGUGACCUUGGGCAAGGCCCUGCCCUUCUCUGGGGCUCAGGCUUGCUUGUCAUCUGCAAAAAAAAUGAGGCUCGAACAGAACUCUCAGGUACUUUCUAGUUUCAUGAGUCCCUGAAUUGUGAAAAUAAAAAAUUACCACUGAGAAACCAUAUACACUUCCAGACUGGUGGCUGCCUAGCCUGGCCUCUGCUCCUUGACAGAGGGGCUGGCCCUGGUGUUUGAGCUUGUGUGCUUGAAUUGGCCUCAGGCCCACCGUGCCUUUUCUCAUCUCAGACAGUACUCUUGCUCCUUCAGUUGCCACGCUGGCUCCCACCGGCCUCUUUCCAGAUCAUGAAGGUAUUUUUCCUUCAUCAAAUUGAGAGGAAGUCCGUAGUAAAGCUGCCCGUUGACCAGGUAGUGCCGAGAGAAUCGGUAGGUCACAUGGAUUCCUAAAGGUCCCCUGAUCAGCCACAGUUUGAUUCAUGUUCUGAUGCCCUCCCAGAUGAUGCCACCAUUAGGUCUGCUGGGGCUGGGGGUGAGUCCCAGAUUGCCCUGGAUGUUAUCUGUAGAGGAUAGGAAGCGGCUGCUCUGGGGCCAGUGGCCAGUAAGGUCCCCAACCCUGGGGCCCAGCUCUCCCUUCCAGCUGAUUACAGGCUAUGGCAGGCUCCAUAACCUCCCCAAUUAGCCGGAGGCCAGGCCCAAGGCCUUUCUGAUAACCUGAGCUCCAGUGGCAGCCGCUGUGGGGCCAGCUUAUCUGGUCUCUCUUAUCCUCACCCUUCCCCCACAUACUCAAAGAGUUGCCCUGACUUCAAGCAGAUGAAUAACCAGAUUGUCCUGCAAGCUCAGCCGGCAAGUCCAGCCCUACACCCACCACUUUCCCUGCCUGGGGGAGGCCACAGCUGUUUUGCCCCUGCUGGAGGGGAAGGGCCGGGCCAGGGAGGACUCCUGACUCUGUAAGCUGCCAGCCAGUUCCCUGAAUGGUUGAGAGAGCCCCUGGCAGCAAGGUCUCUGCCACAUCCACGUGUCCUGGGGUGGUUUCAGAGGGGCUCAUGCUUCCUAGGGCAGCUGAACCCAUCCCCAGGAAGACAGGCCAUGGGCAGCAUGCACAGGUAGCCUGGUAGCACUCUCCUCCUUGUCCCUUUUUGAUUGAAACAUGGCUGUAGCUGGGGGUAGGGGCAGUGCCAGGCCCAUCAAUAAUUCAGCAAGAUGGGGAAAAGCUGCAGCUCCUCCAGCACCCCCUGCUGCUGGGGCCAGGCUAGUGUUCGCAAGCAUGCCUCAGUCUGGCAUGUGACUUCUCGCCCUGCAGGUGCCCUGGCAGGAGGGACUGGCUUAUGCCACCCUGUGCAGGAUCGUCUUCUCAGCUUACAGAGCCUAGUGUGAUUCAACAACCCUCCAUCUCUGCCCCCAACAUGCCCAACUGAUCUGGUGGAGGGAACUGAAGAUGAAGGCCUCUCAGGCACCAUGGAUGGGAUGGGUGUGUGUGAAGGGGGCAGGGUCCCCAGGAGCUGCCCCAGGUCUGGCUGGACAGUUGCACGGGAAGUCCUGUUUGUGAACUCAACGUUUCCACGGCUUUUCCAUUAAACUUUACCCCAAAUCACACCUGGCUCUGUGGGUUUCCUUCCAUUCUCCAAGGCCUCCCUGGGGUCUCUGGGAAGUGUGGGCCAGGGAAGGGGGCAAAGGACUAGCAUUCGUCUCCUUCCUGCUCAAUGCACCAUUUUUUCUCCCUGUUCCUGUCUCUGUUGCCACUUACUUUAGGUCCGGAAGUGGUGGUGGUGGGGCGGGGGGACAAAAUCAGGAACGUGUCAUCUGAGGGUUCCGGCCAGGUUUCAUGAGAUACCCACCUUCACCUGACCACCCUUCCAUCUUCUGAGUUAAAAAGAGGCAAUUACAACAAGGUGCCCCCCAGAUGAGGCUUUGCCAGACUCUCCCCUUGACAGCAACCCACCAGCACAUGGCAAGCCCUGAUCCCCAGGGAGGAGGGUCCAACCCUGUGGCACCCCAAGAACUCAUUGCCUCUGGUAACAGGCAAGAUGCUUAGAGAAUGGGCUUCUUAAAUCAGGCCCCAUCCAAAUUCCAGGACAAAAGUUCUUCCCAUUCCAAUCCUCCACUGACUCCUUCUGCCCCCAAGUUGCACAUGAAAGGGGGUGUUGGGAUCCUGGGCACUCAGGCCAUAGGACUCUGCUCAGCAUUUGGAGAGGACCCUUACCCCAGCAACUCAGGGAUGGACACCAACUGCAGCGUGAUUUAUUGGACAAGACGUGCACUUUUCAACAGGGCCUCAGUAACCACGGUUUCCUUCACUGAUCAGUACAGGACCAGGGUAAAGGGGCUUAAAGAUAAGAAAGACAAACUCUUCCCAUGAACAGAUGGGGAAAGAAAGGAGGAAGAAGAGGCAUGUCCUCCCUUCCUCCUUCCCUAGUACUCUGGGCCUCCGUUCACCCCGUGCUGGAGUGGGGCUGACCAAGGGAAGCUGGGGGCAGUGUGUGUCACAGCCAGACAUGAGCUGAGGCUGUGACUGUCCACUCAGGGUCAAAAUGGCCAGGUGGACGAUCAACUCUGUCCCCACUCAGGCCCCCAGAUCUGGUCACUGUUCCAGGCUCCCCCCACCCGCCCCACCGUGGGUAUGGUUAAAAAAUACAAAAGCGGAUCCAAUGCAGGAUGUCAUAUGCAAACAUACACAGGGACCGAGCUUCUACAGUCUCUCCUGGCCACAGCCUCCACCGACAGGUGUGGCAGAGGGCAAGUGCGCUGAGGUGCUUGGAGAAGGGUCUCUUCUCCAUCCAGGUAGGAUGGGCGGCUGCUGUCACUAAGCUUGGGGAAGGUGGUUGAUGAAGGAAGAGCAGAGACUGAAGGGUAGGACCAGAGCGGGGCUUCUCCCCUCCUCCAGCAGGGGAGGGGGCUGGCCAGUCAGAAGCAGGUUGCUGGUACCUACGGGAAGCCAGUCGGGAAGAGGCUGAGGGGCUGGCUCUCAUUGGUGGGCAGCGGAGAUCGGUAGCCAUCAAAGUUUCUUGGUAUGCUGCCGCUGGUGGAGCCUGAGCUGUUACUCAGAGUCUCGAUGCUUCCCUCUCGCUGAAGUUCUGCAAGACACAGGAGAGGGCCAGGCCUGGUUAGAGUUGGGUCUGGGGAGUGGGGGCACCAUCUGGGCCAGGCUGCCUGCCUUGAGGCACCAUUCUGGGUUCACUUGUGUCCUUCCGCAGGGGGAUCCCCGCCUGCUCCCUGGAUGGGCAGGGGGCAGCUCAGGUCACAGGAAGGCUCAGCCAGGGGAGGGAAAGCCCCCUGGCUGGCAGACUCUGGUGUGAGAGCACCGUCUCCCUGCUGCGGGAAGCCCUUUAGGCCCGAAGCACGGCCACCCUGACGAUGUGUGUGGACUACACAGCUCUUCAUGAGCCCGUACCCACGCCUGCACACACUCAUGCUCAGCCAGCAUGCCCCCAACUCCACAGUGCCUUCUGUCCCGGCUCUACAGGGGAGGCAGGCGGGGAGAAGCUAGGACACGGGAGGGCUUGCAGCAUCCCUGCCUGAUCUGUCCCCACCUCUCUCCUGCCCUGCCUGUGCCUAGAGCUUCUGCCUGGCUUUGCCACUCACUCAUUCACUCAUGCUCACCCACACAGUCCAUCUGCUGGCCAGGUCUUGGCUCAUCUUUGGCACCUCCUGCCAAGUGUCCUGUUUCCCUGGGAGGGGAUGCCUGGUUUGAGAGGGGCCUGCUCCAAUGAAGAGAGGGUCCCUGUCUGCCUGAAGUGCCUCCUUUCUCCUUUCCUCUUAGGCCCCAAGUCUCCUGGAGGCCCCUCAGCAUCAACCUGAAGGGCAGGCAGGGAGUCCCGCCCUCCUCCUCCUCUGCCUCCCUGGCCCUGCACAUCCAUGUUGCCACCUCAGAUAUGGCAGCUUGAUCCAUCUAAUUCAGCUGUGGGCCGCUCAAUUGUCCUACCAUCUCUUGACCCAAGUCAGGUCCUGGGGUAGGUGGGUUGGGAAUGGAAUUCCCUGCUUGCUGAGUGCAAGGAAGAACCAAUUACUUCUUGGCUUUUUGAAGGUGGUCAGUUCCGAUUCCCUUUCAGUCUCCCCCGGGGGCUCUGACAUAUGGGCACACACACACCGGGCAGUCUCUGGAGCCUGCCCCAAGCCAAGAUAUGUAGACCUGCAACCUUUCCUUCUCCAAGGGAUGCCUGCCUGUGACUGAAGGAGUCUGGCCUGUCCACCCAGGAGUGCAGGACCUCAAAGCAGUCACUUGAAACAGCAAGAUGUGCAAAAACGUUGCACUCGUCUGGUCUGGCUUGAGACCUUGGUCUUCAUCCUGCAACCGCUCCCAGGCCCCCUGCCACCACACGCGCAGUACAGCCGGCUCUGGUUAGGGAAUGAAGGGGUCAUGGCCUUCACUCCUGGGCUGGCCAACACCAGCCAGCCAGCAACGAACCACUGACCCCGACUCCCUGCAGGCCUGCAGCAGCCACAGAGUGGAGUGGGGAGGAGGCGGGCACCUGGGCCUGGGGAGGGGAGGGGCCCUUGGGAUCCAUCAGCCGAGUCUGUCGCCGGGGUCUCGGUGGGACAGUUCACUGGGACACCAGGGCUUCUUGGCAAAUUGGGGAAAGUAGGGGGAUGGGACUGUGGACAGGGACCGAGGGCCUGACUAUGGUCCCUGACCUCCAGGGGACAUUGGCUGCCUGGGAAAGUCAAGAGCUAUCUGGAUAUGGAUAGAAAACAAGGCAGAUAGGAUCUUUUUCUCCUGCUCCUCCUUCAGUAUCACCCUAAUCUGGGGGGACAGGCCAUCGUGCCAUGAGAUGGAGAGGGUGGUAAAGCCAAGAGUAGACCCUGGGGAUUUUACAUGGAAGCUCCAGACUCCAAGAGACCCCUCUGUUGCCUUAUUUCCCCAAAAGCAAGCCGAGGAGUUGUGGGCGAUCUGUCCCACCGCCCUCAUGCGCGGCCGGCCCGGCACUAGGGGGCGCUGACAGCAGGGCCAGGCGGGCGGGAGAAGAGCACCGGCAGGCGCAAGAAAAGCAGGGGCUUCCUUAGGAUCGGGCCGCCAGGCCUAAGGAAGAAAGCCCCCGAGGAAGGAGCAGGCAGGGCCACCAGGAUGGGGAAGGCUGGCCCCUUUUUACAGCUCAGGGGCAGCUUUAACGGCCUUGAUGCAAAAUGCCUCCACAUCCACACUGCCAAGGAAGCCAGGAAACGGGAGCCCGGGCCCAGGCAUGGCACCCCCACCGUCCCUUGGCAUAGGCCCCCAGCAAAUACCCCAGCAGCCUCGGUGGUCCCACCAAUGAGUCUUCGUGGAUGCACCCCAGCCCAUCACACCACAGUGCAGGGAAAGCCACCCAGGGGCUUACAAGAUGAAUGUCCUGUUCUUGGGGGCCAGGGACAACCUGAGCGCCUUGCUCGCAUUUUCCCUUUGCCAGUUAGACCCGGGUAAGAAGGAUGGGGGCAGCGUUCUCCCUCGCCCCCGCAUCCCAGGGUAAGGUAACCAAGGCUCUGCUGAACUUCUCCCUCCUCUGCCUCUGCCCUGGCUAAGCCUGCCCUGUGCGCCUCAGUCUCCUGACUCCAGGUCACCCACCCUGUGCCAAAGCCAGAGUGGGCUAUGUACAGCACAGCCCUCAUCUUGCUUUUCCUCUGCGUAAAAGCCUUCAGCCACUCCUAACAGUUCCCAGGGCAAGGUCUGAACUCCCCAGCACUGUGAAAUGGCCCUCCAUGACCUGCCGCCAACCCCUCACUAGUGAUACCCGUUAUUAUGUCUGAGACACAAAAGUGAUGAAGCUGUGUGGUGUUUGGACCCAUCCAGGUGGUUCUAGGCCUCUGGGCCUGUGUUCAUGUAACUUGCUCUACAAAGCCCCAGAACACCUACUCAUCUUCCAAAGCUUAGCACGAGUGUCCACUCCUCUGUGAGCCCGUCCUGUCCCCCGAGCAGAGCCUGCCAGACCCUACCCUGCGCUGUGCUGACUCCUAGCCCAGGCCCCCUCAUCGUCCCAUGUGUCUCAUCUAGGGGAGACCCCCUCGGGGGGGUUCUGUGCCUUAACUCUGUAUCCCUAGUGGCCUGGAAAAUCAUGGGUGCCCUAAACAUUUCUAGCAUGAAUGAAUGAAUGAAUGAAUGAAUGAAUGAAUGAAUGAAUGAUGUGGUAAGGGGAGGUGGGGGCCCAUUCUUCAACACAGACUAACUGAAAGAAUCGGGGGCCUGCUGGCCCCGGGGCAGCUUUGUGGGCGCUUUUCUCCACGCCUCCUCUCAGACCCCUUCUGCUCCUCCCCCUGCAGGCAGGGGUGUGUGUGGGAAGUGGAGGGGAGGAGGGCUGCUCAGAUUCCCCCCUCCAAGUCAUCCCGGCCGCCCAGCCCUACGAGCAAGCGGCAAAUGGAAACGUGUGGCCUUACCUUCCUCCAUCCCGAACGCAUGCUUUGUUACUGUUGGGUUGCUCACGGACGCUGGGCUGUUGGCAUUGUUUUUUUUUUCCUUUUUUUUUCCCUUUUGAAAAGAAAAGCAUUGAGGAAUCUUUUUGGAAAAGAUAUGGACAACGAUUGAGAAGUACACUGAUCUCUGCAAGCAGGUGGAGAGGUGUCAGGAGGCGCAGGGGCACACCGUGAGGAGGGGGAGUUUGCAGUCAAGGAGGACAGUGACAUGCAUGUGUAGGGGCUGGGGACCAAUCUGUCUUGGGGGUCCCAGAGAUGGAUCUGCUGUGACAGAGGGGGCCAAGACCCCGUUCAGAGUGGGGGAGGGGGAGAGGAGUCACAGGUUCAACAUGAAGAACAGUUUUAGGAAGUGGGAGGGCUGGGGACCUACGGCCCAUGCAGUGCCAGAUGGGACCCCAUGCAGGUGGGUUGCUGGAGGAGGACAGGGAAACAGACUGCAGUUUUCAGGGAUGCCCUUGGACCUUCUGACUCAGUGGCCCAACUCCUGGCUGCUGCCCUCCUCCCCCACUCCCAAGACCUCCAGGUCUGAGCAGCUGUCCUGCGGUUGAGGUGGACCUGUUGGGGAAGUCCAUCAGGAACCUGCCAGGGCCCGAAAGAGAGUGCUGGGGGCUCUGUGGCAGGAAAUGAGGGAAGUGUCCCCAGCCACCUCCCCCCUUAGAGGUGUGGAGAUUCUGGUCAGUGGGAGAAGCUUUAAAAGAGCUUGUUCUCCAGGCCCCAAAGUAGGGCAGGAGAGGAGGAGUGGCUUCCAGGCAAGUGGCUAGACCCAGUCACCUCAUUGUGACCUUGCACUCUCCAGGGAUGUGGUCCCCUGGGUGGUGGGAGCUAUAUACCCACAUUGCAGAGAGCAAAACCAAGGAAGACGAAGCAACCACUAGCUCUGGUUCUUCACCUCCCACCCCCAUCCCCCAAGAAAGAACGGGUGCUGGUGCGGGCCACAGGGUGCUGGCAGCUCCGGCAUCACUAAGACCGGCCCCCAUGCCCAUGCUGGAGAGCCAUUCCCUGUUGGCUCAUAUUGGAAAUGGGCCUGUUACCCGCAGCUGCCCCUCUAUGCCUUGGGCCAGGAUGGACAGCCCCCAGGGGUAGGGGGAUGAUGAAUGAGUAGCAACUGAAGGAAAGGUGCCUCCGCUCUCAUGAAACAAGUGAAGGAUGAGACAGCCGGAUCCUUGGCACUACUGUUCUCAGGGUGAAAAAAAAGCAAGCUGGAUCCUCAUGCUGCCCCACUCCAUAUGGAGCCCAUCCAAACUCAGAGGUGUCAGAGGGGGCAGAAAGAGGGGACUGGCCUUUUUAGAGAGAAGCAACCCUGGUCACUUGGGAGCGUGUGCCCAGGGAGAUGGGGUGGGGUGGGGUCACUCUUUGUCUGUGAGGAGGCAAGGGCAUGGCUGCCCACACCUUGUCCUACUCCUGAGCUGGGCCGUGCAGCAUGGGCCCAUGCACCUCCACCCACAGUGCAGUGUUGUGGCCCCUUUGCCAGGCUGUGAGUUGACGGGCAGCAGACUCCCCGGGAGGGGUGAAAUGCGGAGGGCACAGGGCCUGUGUGAGACGCAGGGAAAGCUGGAGAGGCCAAACCAGGGGCCCCAGCAGUAGGUCGGAGGUGAAGUCGGGCCAGGUGCAGUGGCUCACACCUGUAAUCCCACACUUUGGGAAGCCAAGGCAAGGGGAUCACUUGAAGCCAAGAGUUCAAGACCAUCUUGGGCAAUACAGCAAAACCGUGUCCAAAAAUUAAAAGAUUAGCCAGGUGUGGUAGCACGUGCCUGUAAUCCCAGCUACUCAGGAGGCUGAGGCAGGAAGAUCCCUUGAGCCCAGGUGUUCCAGGCUGCAGUGGGCUAUGAUUGUGCCACUACACUCCAGCCUGGCAUCUCAAAAAAAAAAAAAAAAACAAAAAACAAAAACAAAAAAAAACAGUAAGGAAAUCCUGCUUUGGGCUUGGUGUUCUCUGGGUCUCUUCCAACCUGGACGUCUGGCCAAUCAAAGGCCCUGCGAAAAGCUCCUCUGGCUUCGGAAGUGGGGGCAUUGAGCCCUAGUCUCAGGGACCUGAGAGGGGCCAGGGAGGACAGUGCUCUGUUUGUGUUUAGGAAGAGGCUGCCUGGGGCCCCUGGUUCACCCUUUGGGCAGCUCUGGCACUUCCGUCACCACAAAAGGAGCAGCGUCCACGGCUCUGUACAUGAGCAUUGAUGCUGCCCACUGAAGGGAUUGGCAGAGCACUGUGACUGGGCCCUGGCUGCAUUUCUCCACCCACGCUGACUGGUGGGAGUAGGAUGAGACCUUAGGGUCCAGUCUGACCCUGCACCCACAGCUCUGCCUGCUUCCAGCAGUGAGCAGGAGGAUGAGGAUGUUUCCCCUGGCCAGUCCAGCCCCCAGCCUCAAGAGAACCCGAGAAGGCAGAGGGGCAGUGUCUGCCCAUGUUGGUGGAGGCGUUUAGGGAAGUGGUUAAGAGCACACCCCCUGGCCACCUGCUACCUGGGAGACUUUGGGAAAGUUACUCGAAUCUUUGUGCCUCAGGUUCCCGAACAUGAGGUUAACGAUGUCUGUGUCAUGGCCUGGUUCUAAGAAUGAAAUUAAAUAAUGCAUGUAGAGUGCAUCACAAAGUGCUUAACGCUUCCAGUCAGCAAAUGUGAGUUACUAUUAUUGCUGCAAUCGGAUUAGUCAUUGUGAUGAUCCACAGGACUACAGGGUCCCUCUCCAGCCUCCCUCCCCAGCAGGUGUCUCUGCCAUCCAGGCCCUCACCAGCUUGGCUUCCACCGGAGCUUGGGAAGGAUUCUUUCUUUUUAAUCAAGAAAUGGCCCAGGGAGGAAGAUGGCAGAUGUGUGUUUACAGCUUUUCAUUUCCCUCCUCGCCUCUUUGCAAAUACCCUCUUCCAAAAUGGAAAAUAAAUUUCCAACCCUGUUGACAUGCAUCGAUUUUUCCCUCCUGCAUCCACCUCUCAGCUCUCCCACAUCAGCAGGGACUGUGGUUAAGACCCUUGCUGGGGCUGGGUUCCGGGGUGGCCCAGGGGAGCGGAUGGCUUCGCGGCACACAGCAGCCAGCCGAGCUGCCCGCGCUUGCCCAGUGCCUGGCUUUGAGAAGGUUUGCAACCAACAGCUUCAGUACCUUCUGCCUGGGGGUUCCUGAAUGGGCAGUGAGGUACGUAGUAGGGGAGGUCCUCUCAUUAGGAGGUCGGGCAUUUUCUGCAUUUUCCCUUGAUGGGACAUGUGAAGAGGAGACCAGCGGGUCACGUGACUGCUCUAAGUUCAGCAAAUGAACCAUAUGGGGUCUGCCCCAAGCGAUCAACUUGGUCAGCAAGGGGCCUGCACCCAGGGCCCUUAUGUCCUGCAAACAGGACCAGCUAUGCAAAAUGGGGCUUGGAGAGAGAGAGAGACUAAGUGGAAGGAAGACUUGAGCAAAUUGUGUGGGGUUGAGCAGGGCUGGCAGCCUCCUGGUGCUGGCGCUGGCACCUGGAGAGGUGGUGGCCCAGGCAGACAUGGCUCCAGGCUGCUUGUCUUACACCAGUCCUGUGCCUGAAAACAACUGCUGUCUCUUCCAGAGCGUGGCUGAGGAGGCGGGGGCCUGUUCCGUGAGACAGAGAUGGAGUUGGCUGAGAUUGGCUCUAAGCCCCUGACAGCCUUGUCAGAGACCACACUCUGGGAUGGAGCCAGCCUCAGCCCCCAGGGCACUUUUUAGGAGGUGAAAAGUGCAGCAGUUAAAGGCAGCCCUGCUUCCCACCACACUGAGCAUACACCCACCUCCCAGGCUGCCUGGCUCCCCUGCGCUUUCCCUCUUCCCCAGGCUUCACCCUGCAGUGUGGGGCUCCCCUCCCCACCAGGUUCCUCCCUCAGGCUUCAGAGCUGGCUGCCAGGCCCACAGACCAGGGGUCCUCUUUGCCUACCAGCAGUGAGCGCUUGGGAGGACGGGGGUGCUGGGGCUAGCAGGGACUGAGAAAGGAGUCCCCUUUCUCCCCUGGCAGAGUACAUGCGGUCACCACAUGCUAUACCAGGGGAGAGAAAAUGCUGUGCUGACCCAGCUCCUCUGUCGCUGGUUUGGAUGUAUCUGAGGACUGGCUGGAGCCAUGCUCAGGAUCGGCCAGAUGUGGGAGAAGCCCUGCCCUACCACUCCCUGUGGAUGGCCCAGGGAGGAGGAGGACUGUGCGAGGAGGCCGAGACUUCACUCUGGCCUCAGUUCUGUCACAGAUGUGCCAAAUGACCUGGGCAAGUCACUUCACUUCUCAUCUGCGUCAGCAUCUGUGGCACAGGAGGGGAGGGUCUGCUCUAGUGACCUCACUGGGCGUGUACGGCUCUAAUGAGAAAAGCAAGUGGGGGGCUUUAAGAAGCAGAACCCGCACUGGACACACACGUGAAACUGGGUAAAAAAAUACGCUUUGCUGCCUCUGCUGUCUUUAGCAGCGGAGGGCCCUCCAGGAGCGGGGCUGAAAUGUCUCUCCUAGCUCCAGCUACUCCAUGCCAACCUGGGGGCAGAGCCUUGGCUGAUGCCAUUUAGGGUGGACUCAGUGCCGAGGGGCAUGGCAGGUGGGCUUGGGGGAUGGAGAAUGCCCGGCCAGGUGCUGCCACGCCACCACUCUGUGUGGAUGCCAAUGGGGGGCCUGGAGGAGUCUCAGGCACCGGCACACAGGCCCGCUCUGCCCGGCUAUGAAGAGGGGACAGGGCUUGGAGACUCGUCCUUGGCACUAGGUGCUGGCAGCUGGCCUUGACCUGCCUGUGUCCUGAAGUCCAGCCCUGAAAGCCUGGAAGACCCACCCUAGUUCCCAGGAAGGGGUCUCCCCGAGCUACCCUCCAGCGUGACGAGAUAGCACUGAGCCCUGCAGACCACAGGAGAGUGGCUGUCCUUUGAGAGCUGCUGGCCGGCGGGCCAGAGCCACAUCUGCUUCUCAUUCAAAUGUCCAAAUGUAAUUAAAUUCCCUACGACGCAGCGGAAGAGUUUGGUAAGAUGUGGCUUUCCCCUUUUCCAUCAAGGUUAAGAAAUCACAGUCUCUCAUUCCACAGGCAGACGCGCGUUCCUCCCUGCCACUGGUCCGUCCUAUUCUGCAAAGGCAAAGGCCUGUGCUCUUAUCUGUUUUCUAGAGCUUAUGGGGCUGGGGCCAGCAUGGGAUACACGGAUCUCCCCCACCCCCGUGUUCCAUUUACCCACCUGAGAGGAUUAACAGCUGAGGCCAAAGCUGCGGGCUUGCAGCCGAGCAAGACAGUGUGCUGGGGGUUCAACAGGGGUGGGGGUGGUGAGUUAGUGCCCCUACUCCUUCUGAAAGUGUCUCCCUGACCCUGAGGAGACAGCACUGUGCCCAGGCUCACCUCAGUGACACACCAGUGUCCUUCCACUGCUGGGAUGUGAGGGUGUCAUAAUACCCUGCUGAGGAGACCCCGGCUUGCUUUGUAGCUCCUCACAGUAGGAAGUGCUUGAGGGUUACGAUUCUGGAGUCUUUGGGACAAGGACCUCCCUGUACCUGGCCUGGCCCGGCCCUACAGCCCAGGACACGGUGAGGCCCUUCCCCACCUCUUACUUCUCACCUUGGGGCCCUGGGACUGCGGCAAGGAGGCGCCCCUCUCCCCGCCCCCUCCCUGUACACGAAGGAGGAGAGGUAUGAGAGAUGGUGGAGGAAUCCGUCUAACAGACAAGGCCCAGAGUGGUGCCUGGCCCUCUCCAAGAAUCUCCAGGACCUCCAUGUCUCUCAGGACUGUUUGCCACUUCUGGCCUGGAAGGGCUCUGGACAGCUGAAGGGACAGCAGGGUCCAAGGUGCAGUCCUCUGUGAGAGGGGGUGCCCUGUUUCAGGCUUCAGUGCCUCUGCCCCUCGGCCUCCUGCCCAGGACUUCCCCAUAUCCAAAUCCAGGCAGAAUGGUCCCUGGAGGGCUGCUUUUCCCGGCUUCCCUUCCCACUGGAGGAUCUUCUGUUCAUGGUUUCUUUCAGUUCAUGGCAUUUAUGACUUUCAUGGUAAUGGUUCCAUUCACCUUCCCCUAUGCCAAUUUUUCUAAUCAUUGUGGUACAGGCUUUAUGAGAGUUUCUUUCUUUCUUUCCUUCUUCCUUUUUUUUUUUGGAGGCAGGGUCUUGCUCUUUCACCCAGGCUGGAGUGCAGUGGUGCAAUCUCAGCUCACUGCAACCUCCGCCUUCUGGGUUCAAACAAUUCUCCUGGCCAGGCGCGGUGGCUCACGCCUGUAAUCUCAACACUUUGGGAGGCCAAGGUGGGUGGAUCACCUGAGGUCAGGAGUUCGAGACCAGCCUGACCAACAUGGUGAAACCCCAUCUCUACUAAAAAUGCAAAAAAUUAGCUGGGUGUGGUGGCGGGUGACUGUAAUCCCAGCUACUGGGGAGGCUGAGGCAGGAGAAUCCCUUGAACCUGGGAGGCGGACAUUGCAGUGAGCUGAGGUCGUGCCAUUGCACUCCAGCCUGGGCAACAAGAGUGAAACUCUGUCUCAAAAAAAGAAAAAAAAAAGCCAAAAAACAAAAACUGAUUCUCCUUCCUCAGCCUCCCAAGUAGCUGGGAUUACAGGCACGCGCCACCAUGUCUGGCUAAUUUUUGUAUUUUUAGUAGAGAUGGGGUUUCACCAUGUUGGUCAGGCUGGUCUCAAACUCCUGACCUCAGGUGAUCCACCCUCCUUAGCCUCUCAAAGUCCUGGGAUUAUAAGCGUGAGCCACCGCGCCCGGCCCCAGGCUUUAUGAGAGUUUCUUAAUAAGUGGGGGUAUUUUUCAUUUUGAAACAAGCUGUCCUGAAAGUUAAUGACUUAUUGCGGCUGUGGCUGCUACCCAGAGACCAAUGAAGGUUGGGGAGAGGAUGACCAGUUGGGGAUAGGAGAGAAUUUUCUAGAUUAAUAAUGCUGUGCUGAGGUUGAGGUCCCUUUAAGACUCCUGGCCAGCUCCUGUGUUAGAGUCCCACAUGCUGCUCACAGCAACCCUACCAGAGAACCAGAACCACAUACAGGCACACAUGGCAUCUGCGUGCUGAAGAAUGCUGGCCCUGGGGACAGGCACACACACGCAAGUUGGUGUGAACCAACCAAUCCCAAUGUCACUGACCUGGCUCUAAACAGGAAGAGCUUUUUCGGUUUCCAGAUGGUAAACCUGAGUUUAGUAAUAGAUUUAACUUCUCGGUGGCAUUUAGCGUCUGGUAGCCUUGACAUCAGUGAACAAGGUUUGAAGUUAAAUAACCCAGUUCUUGGUCUAGUGUUCUAGGCCAAGCCUAGCCAAAGGAAUGGUGUUGGGGCACGGCCUCUGUUGCCCUCUUUGGGGUCCCAGCCUGUGUCUCAAGCCCACACGCCGCGGCUGGGAAAGGAUCACAGUCUCAGCUAAUUGUGGUGGUGCCGCCGCCCGUCCAGAUGGAAACGGCCUGGCUGAUGCCGGUCUGCCUUUGUGCGGUGCUCACAGACUGGCUGCUGGUGCCGGGGCUCUAUUCAUUAUUCAAUUCAGCUGGCUCAGGCGAGCCUUUCCAUUUGCUCCUCCAGGAGGAAUAACAAAUCUAGAAAUGCAAUUCCACUUUGGUGUAUUAAGAUAUCGAUUUGCCUGUCGGGUGGAAGUGCAUUUGUUCUGUCAGUCCUCCCGUGGGUAGGAAGGGGUUAACCAAAUGUUUAUCACAAGGCUGGCUUCAGAGUUGAAAGUAAUGUGAUCAGUAAUGAAUUUUGUGUUACAUUAGGUUGUAUAAAUGGACAGACAAGCGCAGACAACAAGUGGCCAGGAGUCGGGGCUAAUCUAAUGAUGUAAAAAUAGAGACAGCACCAAUUAUACUAGGGGCCAGCUCCAGGCUCCUGCAGGGACUGCAAAUGAAUAGGUACAAAUCAAAUUACUCACUAAUAGACGCACUACAAGAGGGGCAGUCAAUGGUAAAUGCAUUAGAGCCUAGUGACCUCCCUGCUCUGCACAGCAGAGUCCGAAAAUUUCACUUCCAUCUUCAAAGUGGGGGGCAGGGAGUGGCGUUCUCAAAGAAACUCUUGUUGGGUGAAGGAUGACAACCACUCCCCAUCCCAAACCAGUCCCCUUCCAGAAGAGACCUCCCAUCUGAGCUGACCCCUGCCCUCCCUAGAGUGCUCCUGGGCCUGGGCACGAGGGGGUAGGAGGGCACCCUCUUGAGGGACAAAAGAAGCAACGGGACAACCCCUUCCACAUAGGCAAAGAUAGGACGUUACAUACCAAAACACUUCACUGCCACGUGUCUCUCAGGGGGGAAGGUUUUUACUGCUACGUCAAGGGCUGUGUCUGUAUUGAAAAUAAAAUAUUCCUUUAAAGCGGAUCACAAACUGGACCUUUAAGAGAGCAGGAAGAGCUGAGAUCAAAGUGAGUCGAUACCCAAAUCUGGUUUGACCACUGAGAGCUUUGCGGGGGUGUUCAUGGUCUGUUCCCAGGCACAGCACAUCUAGGGUUUUACAGAUUUCUCACUAGCCUAAACUGGUAUCAUCCUUCCCUCUCUCCCUCCUCCCCAGUCCAGCUGCCUGAGUUCCUACACUCCUGCCUGCUGCACAGGGCUGGGGUAGGGAAUGAUGUAGAGAGAAAGCCGGCAUCCUGGGUAACCCCUCAGAUUUUCUUCCUCCUCUCAGCUUCCGUGGAUUUAGAAACCAGGUCUGAAGUUCAAAGCUGCAUGGCAGUGUGUGGUUGGGCUGCUUAGAGAAAGGUCACAAAGACCAGCUCAAGGGCACUAACCACAGGAUCCUACUCAGCUCUCAGUGGUCGGGGAUGGAUAACGCAUGAAACCGAGAAACUCCAGGCCUUAUAAGGCCCCAGCCCAGGCUCGUACUCCACCAACCCACCCCUCGGGUCAGCACCAAACAGUCACACACACCAGCAUGGAGAUGGCACGCUGGCCCUGGCCAACUGGAGCUGGGAGAUGAUGGGAACAUUCCAGGAAAACGAACACAGCGGGCGUGGAAUGGAAAAGUCAUCCUGAACAAAUGACACGACUGGAUGGCGCUUCUCCCAAAACUCAAUGAAGGGUGCAGAGGGGUGGAACUGCAAGCUAGCGGGCUACACCCCAUAAAACAUAUGUGGGUAACAGGGGAGGGCUGCGAAGCCUGGUGCUGGGGGAUUUUGCCAGCAAAUUAAAAAAUGUCUUAUGCAGUGGGCCGGCAGGUCCCCGGGGGCAGGGGUGACGUGGGAGGAGGAGUGGGCAGGAAGAAAUAAGUAAAAGGCCAAGGCUGGAAAGCUGUUUCCGGGAUGGGCUCCAAAAUGCCUUCUUCUACUAGGGAACUUCACUUCUCCGUUAAGUUCAAUCGGAUGGGCUUGGCUUGGCCUUCUUGGUACAGUGCUCUAUGGCUUCUAGGAGCCAAGAUUCUGGAUUCCUAAAGGGUCAGAGGGUCAUUGCCAACUUUCAUUUUCUGUGAGCAAGUGUGUCUCCCUCUCUCAGCAGCCACCACAUCCAGGGGGUGGCCUCCACAUCUCGGGCCAUGUUUCGAGAAGGCAGAGGGGCAGAGGCAAGGGCAGAAGGGAAAGGUGGGAAUUUAACCAUCCAUGACCGCGUUCAACUUUGUUCAGAAUCUCACGCCUCACAGAAAGGUCAGUGGUUAACAGUCAAUACUGUGGCAGAGGAGGAGGAACAGGGAGAAAUCCUCCCUUUUGUUAACCAUUUACCUAUGUUGAUGCUUCCAGAGGAGAGCCUGGCUCUGGGGGUCCAACAGCCCUCCCCCAGCCCCUCAGUCCAAGCCUGUGCCUAUCCACAGUAAUUCCUGCUUUCAUGUUGGGGCAGCACCUGGAGAGGGGACUCUGAAGGGUCACAGAGGUCGCACUGGCACUUCCUCCUUGUUGAUAGGAAUCACUGUGCCUUGGUGAAAGAGUUGAAAAGUCACUUUAGACAACUAAGAAAUAUGCAGAGGAGAGUCUCAGCCCAAACUCCCAUUACAGCUCUGCCCCUGGCGGGGCUUCCAGUAGCCUUAGUGACGAAGGUGGGGUGGGGGAAAUGAUCUACCCAGAAUCAGAUUUGAGACCUGGCCAGAAAUUAACAAGUGUGACUUUUAAUCAAUAACUAUUCCCAUUGCUUUGACUGGCUUUCAUUUACCUCUCAGGGGCCACAGAAACCCAUCCAGUCACUCAACAAACAUUAACUGAGGCUCAGCCUGGCUCUCCUUCCAGUGCUGGUUGCUGGGCAGGGAGAAGGCUGGUGGUUGGGGAUAACAAAGAUGGUUCAGACUCAGUUCAAAGAACCAGUAGUGGGUCAAGACACUCGUGGGAGUAUGGGUGAGGGAGGGGCUGAAGGGACCACCAGGGCCGGCCCUUUUCCAAUGGCAAAACGAAGGGAAUUGGUGAGCAAGUUAAUGGAAAAGGCAGCAUACACUCUUUGCCCAGGGCCAAGUAUCCAGCAAGUCGGUGGUGCAGAAAUUCAGAGACAGAGAGAGUUGCACACAUUUGGCUUCAUGGUCAGGGAAAGCAACACAGAGGAGGUGAGAUUUGAGCUUGGCCUAAGACGACGACUGGGCAGGAUGGGAGGGCAGCGGUCCUGAGGGGUGACCAACAUGCACCAGGGCCAGGUAACAGGGUGCAUGCUGGGGAUGCUGGGAUCCUAUAUUGGCAAGAAGGUGGAGGAGGUGAAAUAUGCAGAGGUUACUGCAGAAGGGGUGGGAGGUCAGGCUGGAAGGGAAGGUGGGGAAGGCCUGUAAGAGACAGAAACAUGAUGGCAAGGAGCCUGGGUGCAAUGUGCAGGCCUGGACACUUUCUGAGCAGGGAAGUGCAACGGCAGUCAAGGCAGGCCCUGCUAGUGACAGUCCCCUUCCUCUGCUGGAUCCCUACUUAUUCUGAAUAAAAGGUGAGAAUAACUGAUAAAACUCCAACCCUUCAGACCAUGGGAGACCGGCAGGAUCUUAAUAACUGGAACCUCUUCCCAAAUUUCUUAUUUUAAUCCCACAUCUUUUAGUUAUACUCUCACUUCAAAUCUUUCGUUUCCUCCUUUGUAAACUGGAGAGGGGAAGGUCUACCUGGCAGUGCUCUGACAAUUAGAGGACAUUUAUGUGGCAGGCAGAGUCUUAGGCGUACAAGUCCCACGGGAGGUGUGGCCACUGCUAUCGUGGAGAGGAGUAAAAGAGAGAGACCGAGUGCUCCCUGCAGCAGCCAGGACAUCAGAGUUACAGGAGGCCAACGAUUACUACAUUUACUAGCUCCUCCUCCCCACACUGUGUCACAGAGGAAGAAACUGGCCCAGAGAGGGAAAGGCACUUGCCCAGGGUCACAGGUUUACCCCAUUGCUUGAUGAGGGCUUCAAAUCCCAUCGAAAAGGGGAAAAAAACACCACAUUCUUCCCAAUAGCGGGAGCUUGGUGCUGGGAACUGAAAGGACUCUCAGAUUUGGCCUCUCCUGCCAGUGGAAAAUAGCUAGGAAUAGGCAAUCCGACACUGAACCGAGACACAAAUAGCAACACCAACAACACCACCCCUGCCGAGGCCACCGGCUGUCCCACAGUCUCGCUGGCGCAGCUGCUCCCUCUUGUCCCGAGUAGGGAUGCUUGUGACCUGCUGGUGGGACUGGGCUCUCUAUCUGGUGGCCCUGUGCCUCUGGGGACACUUUCUUCUCUCACCCUCAGCAAUCAGGGCAUUAGGCACUGGGGAGUUCCAGCUUUGCCUCCGCAUCCUAGAAAGACCAUGCCCUGUGGGCAGGGGAGCACUCCUGACUUCCACUUGGUCCAGCUCAGCUAGGGAGGCCCAGCGGGAAGCUGGGGGUAGAAGUCAGAGAGAAACAGACCCACCGUUCAGUAUUGUGGCCUCCUCUGGGGCUUUAAUCUCUUUGAGGGUAGGAAACUUGUCUCUCUUAUUUUUCUCCAGCCUAUUGGGGAAGAAACUGGCAGAUACCGAUGGAGACCCUGCCUGCCCCAACCACAGAAAGAACACGUUGGGCCACUGAUGAGGUCAUUAAGAGAAGACACUGAGAGAACUUUUGUAGAUGCUGUAGAAGGAGGAAAACUCCAGGGCCCAAUUAGAUAAGGCAGAGGAAAAGCCCUAGGUUCUGGCUAAGUUGCUUGGGUGAUAGCAUUUGCUGAGACAGGUGCAAUUUUAGGAGCACUGGGCAAUCAGAGAUAUUACCCAGAGAAGCCUAGAGACUUUGGCAAGAGAGCCAGACCAAGCCAGAAGCUAUGGCUUGCACAGAUGAAUCACCCUUGUGCAUCUUGAGAAGGGGACCCAGGAAGUUGGAGAGGUAAGGCUUGGAGGAAAAAAUUAAAAGACAAGACUGGGUCUCAUGGGCGGCCACACUGGGGAUCCUGGAGAGGAGAGCGAUUCCUACUUUCAGGAGGCCGAAAGACUAACCCUUCCUGGGUAUCUGGGGUAAAUACCAGUUUGCCUGAUAGAGUGGCUGUAGGAAGAGGAGAGAAGAUUCUCUGGAAAGAUCAAAGCAGCUUGGUGGUUGUGUGUGGUAGGGAAGCAGGGAAUGUGACCUAUGGGGCUAUGAGCCACGAUGGCCCUGUGAAGGCAGCAUCUUCAGCUCACACAACCUCCGGGUUUGCUUAGGACAGGAACAGUGUGGCUAACCCAGGACCCAUAAAGGAGGCUCACCUUUCACUUAGAAUCAGAGAAUCUCAGGUUUGGGAAAGGGACCUGAGAGGCCCACAUAACACAUGUAAAUGUCACUUCUCCAGCUUUCUGGGGCAACACUGUCAGUUCCUAUUUCCAUGGCCUUGCAAUGAGUUGGGCCAGUAGGAUGCAUCUAUCUACCCCUAGGGCUGGACUGGAUAAAGUUCUCUCUAAAUUGCAGAUUUUAAAAAUAUGUGGGAUGCAGAAAAUUCUAACCACCACCACAUCUUCUGAAAUGUCUGCAAAGUCAAAUGUGGUCAACUACUUUCUGUAGCGAAUACUGAUAAAUCAAUUAUCUGCUUUUAAAAUGAGACUGACCAGAGAGUAGGGAUGGCUAAAAGAUAAUUGGCCCGGUGUGGUGGCUCAUGCAUGUAAUCCCAGCACUUUGGGAGGCCGAGGUGGGUGGAUCACCUGAGGUCAGGAGUCUGAGAUCAGCCUGGCCAACAUGGUGAAACCCUGUCUCUACUAAAAAUUCAAAAAUUAGCUGGGCAUGGUGGCGCAUGCCUGUAAUCCACGCUACCCAGGAGGCUGAGGCAGGAGAAUCGCUGGAACAUGAUGGGAGGUGGAGGCUGCAGUGAGCUGAGAUUGUGCCAUUGCACUCUAGUCUGGGUGACAGAGUGAGACUCCAUCUCAAAAAAAAAAAAAAAAAAGAUAAUUAACACAUGGUACUGGUGCCUACAAUUAUUGUCAUCUGAUCAUGUGGCAACCUGGUAUGGGAUGGGGCUAAUAUGAUCCCUAUUGGAAAUGUAGCCUUAGAUUGAAAAAGUUCCCAGCCCUCCAUACUGACCCAGGCAGGAGUUCCAAGGCCCUUUGGAAGAGCUGAUUCUAGAGGCAGGAGAGGGGUCCAAUACACUGAGAUAUUUGGAUUAGUUAUUUGGUACAUAUCUGAUUGACUCCAGUAAAAACAGCUCAUAUUUGUUGGGAGCUUACUUUUUACAGUCUUAAAAUGAAAGACUUUAUUAGUACACACACACACACACACACACACACACACACACACAAAUAGUGCUUUUAGGUCAUCUUUUGCAAAACAUAGCAAUCAACAAAUAUUUGUUAUUAACUUGCUGAAACCAUCCCGUGAUCACUUAAAAACUGCCUAAUGUUCAAAGUGUUCUUUUUAUGUUAACAAGAGAAAAAGAAAGGCGCAGCCCUUUCAGUACAUAAAAGUAGCUUCUGACAGAAAUCUUUGGAAGAGCUUUAGUUGAACAUAAUCUUAAAGCCUUUUCUGCAGAGUAAUUAAUACAUAAAUGGGAAAACUCAGAGGAUUUAGGUGAACAAGCUAGAGCAUUGAUUUUCAAAGCGCAGAUUGCCAUUCACCAAUGUAUUGUGAAAUCACUUUAGUGGGUCACGAGUGCAUUUUUUAAAAAAUGAAAUAAAAUAGAAAGUACAAGAUAAUUCUUAGAAUAAUAGAAGAAAAGGAAGUACUAGAAUGCACUGGCCGUAAUAUUGUUUUGUGAAGGGUUAUAGAUGUGGGUGAACUAGGUCAGGAAGUAAAAUAUGUAUAUGACAGAAGGUAAGAGGCAAAGACUGAGCCCACUAUGUUAUCCCCAAGAAUAACUACUUCUGGCUAGGGCAGAGACUGUUAAAGAGACGGCAGGCAGGAAAAGAUGAAGCCUUUUCCUAUCUUUAAUGCUGUCACUGUAAAGAAGAAUCAGUGAGCCCGGGGCCGCAGGAAGGAACAGUCACGGGGAACAGACAGUCUCCCGGACCCUGAGAGCUGACUCUGUGAGCACUUAAGAGUCAACAGCAGGCCGGGUGCAGUGGCUCAUGCCUGUAAUCCCAACACUUUGGGAAGCUGAGGCAGGCAGAUCACUUGAGGUCAGGAGUUUGAGACCAGCCUGGCCAACAUGGUGAAACCCUGUCUCUACUAAAAAUACAAAAAUUAGCCGAGUGUGGUGGCAUAUGCCUGUAGUCCUAGCCACUUGGGAGGCUGAGGCAUGAGAAUUGCUUGAACCCUGGAGGCAGAGGUUGCAGUGAGCCGAGAUCGUGCCACUGCACUCCAGCCUGGGUGACAGAGAAAAAAAAAAAAAAAGGAAGUUAACAGCAGCAAACAGAUACUCAGAUACUCCUGCAACAGAGAUGCAUCAAGAAUACUUUAAAUGGGGGCCAGGAACUGCGGUUCAUGCCUGUAAUCCCAGCACUUUGGGAGGCUGAGGUGGGCAGAUCACUUGAGGCCAGGAGUUUGAGACCAGCCUGGCUAACAUGGUGAAACUCCGUCUCUACUAAAAAUACAAAAAUUAGCUGGGCAUGGUGGCGCACGCCUGUAGUCCUAGUCGCUCAGGAAAGGGCCCCAGGAGAGGAGGCUGAGGCAUGCGAUUCGCUUGAACCCAUGAGGUGGAGGUUGCAGUGAGCCGAGAUCGCACCACUGUACUCCAGUCUGGGUGACAGAGCAAAAAAAAAAAAAAAAAAAACAAAGAAGAAGAAGAAGUUAACAGCAGCAAACAGAUACUUCCUGCAACAGAGAUGCAUCAAGAAUACUUUAAACAGGGGCUGGGCAUCGUGGUUCAUGCCUGUAAUCCCAGCACUUUGGGAUCACUUGAGGCCAGGAGUUCGAGACCAGCCUGGCCAACAUGGUGAAACCUCGUCUCUACUAAAAAUACAAAAAUUAGCUGGGCAUGUUGGCACACGCCUAUAGUCCUGGCCACUCAGGAAAGGGCCUGAGGAGAGGAGGCUGAGGCAUGAGAAUCGCUUGAACCCAUGAGGUGGAGGUUGCAGUGAGCCGAGAUCGUGCCACAGCACUCCAGUCUGGGUGACAGAGAAAAAAAAAAUGUUAACAGUAGCAAACAGAUACUUCCUGCAACAGAGAUGCAUCAAGAAUACUUUAAAUAGGGGCCAGGCACCAUGGUUCAUGCCUGUAAUCCCAGCACUUUGGGAGGCUGAUGCGGACAGAUCACUUCAGGCCAGGAGUUCGAGACCAGCCUGGCUAACACGGUGAAACCCUGUCUCUACUAAAAAAUACAAAAAUUAGCCAGGCAUGGUGGUGGGUAUCUGAGUCCCAGUUACUCGGGAAGCUGAGGCAGGAGAAUUGCUUGAACCCAGAGACGGAGGUUGCAGUGAGCCGAGAUCAUGCCACUGCACUCCAGCCUGGACAACAGAGCGAAACUCCGUCUCAGAAAAAAAAAAAAAAGGAAUACUUUACACACGGAUCUGGACCCAUGCAUAAGGCCUGGGCUUUUGAUAUCAGAUGUGUGAGAGCACUAAAAAGAAAGACAAGGUGCAGCUACAGUUAUUGAAAGAGUUAAAGUCGAAAGAGAAAAUGUACUUAAUAUGUACACAGGUGUUUAUUUAAAAAGCUUUUUUACUGGUAUUAAGUUAUAUCUUUACCUAGACACAAAACAGUUGGAAUAAGUCAAUGUUUUGUUUACUUUAAAAAUUCUAUUUUUCUAGAAAAGGCAAUAUUGAAAGGAAUGUCUGCUAAGCAGGAAUUAGUCAAGUUAUUUUGAGGGGGGUAACAGAGAGAGGAGGGGGCUUUGAGAGACAGCAUUCCAGGCAAAAGGAAAAGUAUGCACAGAAGCCUCGCGGGCAAGAGACUGCGUAUGCUCGGGGACCCUCUGGGAGUUUAGCUUGGCUGGAGCUGGCCCAGGGCAGCAAGAGAUGAGUCUGGAGCGAGGGCAGUGGCUGGUCUCAAAGGGCUUUGGACACCGGGAUGGGGAAACUCGAGAGAAGGAAAGGGCCCGAAGAGAGGAAUUCAGUUCGUAGACAUGUGGAUAUGUCAAUAGGUAGCUGAAUAGAUGGUUCUGGAGAUCAGGAGACAAAGCCAACUUGGAAAUUAUUUGGAAAUCAUCAGUUUAUGGAUAGUAAUUGGAGACACGGAAGCAGAGAUUGCCAGGUACUGAGAGAGAAGAGACCAGGGCCAAGACAAGGCCUUGAGAAAUACGCCUAAGGACGACAGAAGAAAAGGACUGAGAAGUAGCCAGAGGCUGAGUAAGAAUUCAUCGUCUCUGCGUCUCUAUUGCAGACACUGCGCUAGGCACUGUCUUUUGCUGCAAAAGAUGGGUGCAAACUGAGAAUGGGGGCGGGGCUAUGAGGAAAACACAGAGCAGGCUCCAGUGGAGAGUGGAGACCAUGGAUCUGUAGAGGCACCAAUUGGAAUAAUAAGUGCUCUUUCUUCAGGAACCCAGGUGUGAGAGCAGAGUUGGAUUGAGCUCGAAUUGGAGUUUGCCGAAUGGAAAGAUGGAAGGGUGACGGGGCAAGGGGCAGAAGGAUAUUAGCAAAAAGGCAGUUCAGCCAGUUGUCUUAGAACUGGACUUGCAAAUCACAUAGGUGAUUGAAUUCAACUAUUUGGUCGGCAUCCAUCACGGACCAAAGAACUGCCAUCUGUCUUAUAAGUUAACCAUAAUUUAAAACUGACCUUCUCAAACUUCAGCAUGCGCAGGGAUCCUGCUGAAAUGCAGACCUCGGCUGAGCAGGGCUGGGCAUGGCCUGAGGCUUUGCAUUUCUCACCGGCGCCUGGCUACGGAUGCUGCUGUGGGUCUGAAGACCACACUUUUAAAAAAAUAUAUAUUUUUUAAUUGACAAAUAAAAAUUAUAUAUAUUUAUCAUGUACAACAUGGUGUUUUGAAAUAUGUAUACAUUUGGAAUGGCUAAAUCGAGCUAAUUAACAUGCAUUACCUCACAUACUUAACAUUUUUUGUGUCGAGAACACUUCAAAUCUGCUCUCUGAGUGAUUUUCAAGAAUACAUUGUUAUUAACUAGAGUCACCAUGCUGGACAAUACAUCUCUUGAACUUAUUCUUCUCAUCUGACUGAAACUGUGUAUCCUUUGACCAAAGCUAUCCUUCAACCCCCAGACCACUCUGAAUAGUGAGGUUUGAAAAGGUUUCACUUUACUUUGUGGGGAGCUGACCUGCCCUAGGGUACAGCUUACCAACCAGGUGCUGGAGUGCACAGACUGUUACAUCUCCAGAACCUCUGUUAGCUAGCUGACACUGUGUGACAGGUUGAAAUUGGCCAUAAUAGGAGUUUUUACAUUACAGAAAUCCACAAAUCAAGGCUGGCUACACCUAUGUAACAGUGAGGCGUGCUAUAGAAUAGGCUUCUGUGUCAGGGAUCAUGAGAGCAAGUUUUCAGUUGCUCUCUGUGCUUCAUUCAUACUUUGAUAAAGAGGCCAUGGGUCCCAAUUGCUGUGUCACAUGUGGUGCCUGCUGCAAAGCAUUAAGGGAACUGACUUAGCUCUGGUGCAUCAGAGGACCUAUCAGAGGCAAACACUUGGGGAUACCUCAUUUGUCCUAUAAGCCACCUAGAGAAGUAGAGUUGUGGGAAGAAAGAGGGGGACUGAGAUGUUGCUAUAGGCAAAGAGUGGCUUGCUGGAAAUUCUUACCCACGUUGCACUGUAUUUCCCCAACUACCUCCGGGCAGUAGGCUGACCUGGGCACGGGUGUACCAGGGUGCCCUUUCAAAGUCCUGGGCUGCACUACCAGGCUGAUGCUUUACCUCUAGUUGGAAAAUGUGAAAAGUGAUUCUCAGCCAUGGAAACUGGGUAACUUCCAUAACAUCUGCUUUGCUUACUGGCCUUUAAAAUGGGAGUAGUUUUAGGCUGGGCAUGGUGGCUCACGCCUGUAAUCCCAGCUCUCUGGGAGGCCGAGGCAGGCGGAUCACGAGGUCAGGAGUUCAAGACCAGCCUGGCCAACAUGGUGAAACCCCGUCUCUAUCAUAAACGCAAAAAUUAGCUGGGCGUGGUAGCGGGCGCCUGUAAUCAUAGCUACUCAGGAGGCUGAGGCAGGAGAAUUGCUUGAACCUGGGAGGUGGAGGUUGUAGUGAGCCAAGAUUGUGCCAUAGCACUCCAGUCUGGUGACAGAGCAAGACUCCGCCUUAAAAAAAAACAAAAAAAGAACAAGUUUUUUCUUAAAAAUAAAACAUACAUCGAAUAUGGUCAGAGAAAACCAACUAAAUUCCUUUUGGUGACAGUUUGGGGAGGACAAUGAAAUCCCUCUGCUAAAAAAAAAAAAAGGGAGUCUCCUAUUUUCUGACCUGUGGGUCAUGCAGUUUUAAUUUCCUCUACCUUUUUUUCUUUCUCUUUUUUUAUUCUUUUUAAUUUCAUGAAACUGCUUAAGGCCACAAAGCCUCUCCUGAAUCCCUCAGCUGUCUGGCAGAUGCAUUGCUGCCAGGGCUGUGCAGGUUACUAUGCCAGGCUGAAGUUCCACAGCUGUGACUCAAUGCACCUUCAAAUCCUCUUGCCGGAUGACAGUGAGAUGCUCCAAGGGGCUCCUGAGAAGGCGGUGGGAGAGAAGAGCCACCCGGGAGCUCCUCCAGGCCUCGGAAGAGGGAGGCUGCCGGGGAUGGGUCCAGUGGCACCGGGCUCCGGUUUAUGUGAGCCGAGGCUGGCUAGGGACCCCAGAGAUGCAGGCAAAAGCCUGUGCCGUAAGCCACAUUCCUCACUUAGGCCCCCUUCCAGGGGAAGCGAAGUCAAGCCCUGGUAAAUGCUUCUCAUCUCUGGGUCCAGCUGGGAGAACAGUGGCAUGAUGACAUGCUACCCAUGUAGCCAAGCUCCCCCUCUUCCUCCCUUGCACCUAUCGUUUCCAUCCUGUUCAUUUGCCAGUUAUUACAGGAGCACCACGGGCAGGCCACACAGCUAGUGCUGUGGAGAUGACACGUCUUAGUGAAGGAACGGAGGGACCGGCAUGGGGAUGGAUGAGGGAAACGCCUGACCAUAAACCUAAACAUCUAAAGAUCUGGAGGAGCCACGGGGAAGUGGGACUGUGUGAUGAUGUCAGACAUUUCAAGCCCUGCCUCAGUGCUCUGACUCUGAAUCUUGCUGGUCCUGAUCAGCGCCUGCCCCAUUGUUGUAAGUUUCUCCUUACUGGGGUUCUUUGCAGGGAGGCAUGUGGAACGGGAACGGAGCAGUGCACAGCAGAGUGACAGAGUCUUGAGAGGACUCAGGCAAGCAGGAGAGAAAAGGCCUCUAGCCAGAGUCAGCUGCACCCAACAGAAAGUUCCCUCUGAAAGGAGGGAAGAGGCCUGCUGGGGCAGCCUCUGUCAGCACAAAAGCAGGGCUAGGGCAGUCACUAACAGCACAGCUAUCUAGAACAAAGAAGGGUUUUGGAAAGAAGAGGCAGGCUGUAUUACAGCUGUACUGGAGAUGGAUGAUUGGUGGCUUUCCUGAGUGCAUGUUGUGUGUGUGUGUUUGCGUGUGUGCGCACAUGAACAUGCACUUGCCUGGGCCAGGGCUCCCUCAUCAUUUAAGGAUGUCUUCUGAUUGCUCUGGGAUGCAGGAAGCCACCCAGACCCUAGUUGCUGGACUCGCUCAGAGGCAAGAAUGCAAGGCCAAAGGCAGCAUGAGGAAAAGCUGGUAGGGGCUGAAACCAGCCCAGCCUGCUUCAUGCUUACUCCGCUCAGGUUGGCAGGCCCUACUGAGACUUGCCAAUCUCUAAGUCUCCAGCGUGUCUGAAGAGGUACAACCUGAGGACUCAGUGCCUGAGCGCUGCUGGAAGACGUGGGGACACCCCCAAAGGAGGAAAGUGUCCUUCUGGGAGCCACUUGCACAGUGGUGUUGAUCAUGGCAAUCCUGCAUGUGGUAUUCCACGUGGGAGGGGCAGUUCCACUGGGAGCUCCCCUUUACACAGGGUUUCCCAACACCAGAGCUCCUCAGACGGAUAGCCACUGGAGUGCUAACUAAAGAAACCAACAGCAAAAACAAACAUAUGCCCACAAACGAUUCCAGAGAAGCUCUGCACCAACAGGUGCUGGUCCUGACCAAAUCAGGCUAGAAGUCUGAUGACACCUUUACCUGUUCCGGAUCCCACGACGUCCCGGCUAGGUGACUCGGCCAUGGCGUCGGCAAGUCGCUCCCGGAGGCCCUCCUCCGUGUGCUCCAUGGAGGACAUGUGCCGCAGCCCGAAGCCCUCAGGCCAGCUCCCGCACACCUCCAGCAGGGUCACGCUCCUGUCAAAGGUACCUGUGGCACACACGGGACAUCUGACGUUGAGUCCACACCUUCAGGGAGCAGGCCAUUCUUGUCUACCUCCCACCCGCUCCUCUCCAUACCCAGGGUCCAUUGUAGCCUUCCUGUAGGAUGGAAGCACGCCGCCAACAGACUGGGUAGCGCAGGAGAAAUAGCUCAUGCCGCUGAGAGAGUGCAGACCUCUGGAGUGACUUCCGUGACACUGAGGCUGGUGGUUUUACAACUGUUUCUGAGGAGCUACAGGGUUCCCCUGGUCUUCAGGGACCACCUUAAGAAGUGGGACGGGGAAGGCAACCCCCUUCCCAGGUUCAACCCAAACGGAUCCCUACUUUCCUCUUUUUGAUACAAUGGGAUUCCAUCUACAAUUUCAUUUAGGGCGGGGAGUGGUGCCUUACACCUGCAAUCCCAACACUUUGAGAGGCCAACGCGGGAAGAUUGCUUGAGGCCAGGACUUUGAGACCAGCCUGGGCAACAGCGCGAGACCCUGUCUCUACAAAUAAAUAAAUAAAUAAAUAAAUAAAUUUUCAUUUAAAGAAGGGGUUAUAUAGCCUAAUGUUUUUAAAGCUUUCUUAACCAUUAUAUUCUAUAACCUAUAACCAACUUCCUCAUUUUAUAGUUGGAGCUCAGAGAAGUUAUGGCCCAAGAUGGAAGAGCAAGUCUGUGGCAGACGAGGUCCAAGAACUCGCUCUCCUGAUGCCUCAGUUGAGAACACGUUCUACUUCACUACCUGGUCUCCCAGCUACCCAAGGGCAUAUGAACAACCAGGGAAUUACUUUGGGGGAUACCAGCAAGGAGCUAGGAAGUUGAGGAGCGAAGAUGGGAGAUAUCAGAAGUGUUCAGCAAAGAAGCACCUGAUCAUUUCUACCGUCCUGAGACGUCAUAGAGAGGAUACAAUCAGUGGUCCUGCUUAUCCUGCUAGGAGUCCCAUCAGAGGCUCUGCCAUACCCGCUGUCUCUUUCCCUUCCACACCUCGUAGCCUCUUUGCUGAGGACAGCAAAGGUGCUCCUGGAAUCUCCCUGUCCCAGAGUGAGAGCAAGGCUGCAGAUUUGGAGAUCCUGGAAAUUGGAAAAAACAAAACAAUCUGUCUAGGACGGCAGAGAGAGCUGGUCUCAUCCAGGUGAGUGUCCCGAAUCCUGCUUCCCAGCUUGGCAUCCUGUGUUAUACUCUUUCCCCAGAGGAGAAAUGGGUCAGGUUCUUGGGUUUCACAAACCCAUUAAAGGCAUGCUGUGACAGCUGGCAAGCUGGUAGCUCCUGGGGAGGCUGGGGGAACACGUGCUUUGCCUUUGUACACCAUUGUUAAAGAGGCAAGGAAGCCUAGUGACUGCAGGUGGAGGGGGACAGGUAGGAUGCUCCUCUAAGCUGAUAGUGUCUAAUCACACUCUAGCUAUUUAAGAGACUGUGGCACAGCCUCCGCUUUGCGUUAAUGAGGUUCUGCCCAGGUUUGGAUUUUGCUGAGAGCCUGCUGAUCAGAUUUCUAACCACCAGGGAGGCCAGAUACCAAAAGCAAAACCUGCAUUAAGCAGUGCUUUGCAAGAUGUAAGCCCUCCUUGGUGAGAGGUUGUGAUGAUGACGUCUACAAUAACUAAGAAAUGAUCCCAGGCAUGAUGAGGGGAACCAGUGUAGAGGGGAGCCUCCUUGGCAAGCUUACCAAACUGCUCACCAAACGGAGCUUAAGAGUGCUGCUGCGGGGAGCACCCCUUUCUCCACACUACAAGUUGGUUCCCAUAAGCACAGGCUGAGGACAUUAGCUCUUCUUGGUGCAAUGGUCAAUUUCAUGUAUCAACUUGACUGGACUAAGGGAUGCCCAGAUAGCCAGCAAGGCUUAUUUCUGGGUGUGUCUGGGGGGUGUUUCUGGGAGAGAUUAGCAUUCGAGUUGGUAGACUGAGGAAAGAAGAUUGCCCUCACCAUUGUGGGCAGGCAUCAUUCAACUGAGGGCCUAAAUAUAUUAAAAAGGUGGAGGAAAGGCAAAUUUGUUCUCUCUGUCGGAGUUAGGACACUAAUUCCUGCCCUUGGACACUGGUACUCCUGGUUCUCAGGCCUUUGAACUUGGACCGGGACUUACACCAUCAGCUCCCCUGGUUAUAUACCACCAGCCUUCUUGGUUCUUCACCUUCAGACAACAGACAGUGGGACUUCUUGACCUCCAUUUCCAAUUCCCAAAAUAAAUCUUCUUAUAUCUAUGCAUCUCUGGAGAUAUCUCUUUUAUUAGUUGUUUCCUUAGAGAACCCUGGCUCAUAUAAUUAGCCAUCAGAUGUGUCCACAGAUAUAUUAUAUAUACCACAGCUAUAUUAUAUAUUAUACCUGUGGACACAUCUGAUGGCCAAUUAUAUGAGCCAGCGUUCUCCCACAGUGAGAUAGAUAUAGAUAUAGAUCAGAUAUUAUAUUAUGUUAUAUAUUAUGUGUAUCAUAUCGCAUGGUCCUGAGCCAGGGAAAAGGAGUUCAAUGGCAAUUGGACUAAGAAUUUCUUUGCAAUCUAACACAGUUAUUUUGACAAGGAGACCAUUUUCACAACUGCAAAAUAUGCAAUUGCAUAAUGCACACUUUAAAGCUUAGAACAUAGAUUACAUCUGAGUCAUAACUGGAAUUCUCCCAUUAACUUUUCUGGUUACUCUGGGCAAGUUGCUACUCCGUCUGGGUCUUUUCUUUUUUUUUUUUUAAUUCUUUUUCUCUCUCAGCAGAAUCAUCCCUCUAGGUCUUAAUUUCCCCAUUUAUGACACAGAAAAUAAAUAAAUGAUGCCCAUUUAAGGGGUUCACAUUGGCACUAAUAGUUUCAAUGUCGUUAACAAUAGUAUACUUCCAGAAAAUGGUGUCUGAUAUUUGAGGUAUCCUAGGGUAAAAGCUACCAAUUUCAUUUUCUACAAACCAGAUAACAGUCAGCAGUUAUACCAUAAGAGUCUUGUUUUUACCCAAUUAAAGGCAUAUGUUAAGCAGAAGACCUGGGUUCAAAUGCCAGCUCUUGUUACUUUCUCACUGCAUGACGUUGGAAGAGUCAUUUUCCCUGUUUGAACUUUGCUUUCCUUAUCCACUGCAAUGGGUAGAAUGGUGUUCCACCCCACCACGCCACCCAAAAGAUAUGUCCAGCAGGAGCCUCAGAAUGUGGCCUUAUUUGGAAAUGGGUCCUUGCAAAUGUAAUUAAGGAUCUCAAGUUGAGAUCAUCCUGGGUUUAGGGUGGGUCCUAAAUCCAAUGACUGGUGUCCUUAAAAGAGAAAAGAGGGGAUCAGAGACACAGAAGGAAGAAGCCCAUGUGAAGACAAAGACAGAUGUGAGUUAUCCUGCCUAAGCCAAGUAAUGCCAGGAGUGGUGAGAAGCCAGAAGAAGCAAGGAAGGACAGCAUGGCCCUGCUCACACCCCGAUUUCAGAAUGCUAGCCUCCAGAAAUACAAGAGAAUACAUCUGUUGUUUUAAGUCACCAGGUUUAUGGUAAUUCCUUAAAGCAGCCUAGGAAAAUAAUAAACCUAUAAAACAGGGAAACAAAUAUUUGGCUUCCAGAGCUGUUGUGAGCAUCAGACCAGAUAGUAUUAUGAAAGACUGUAUUAAACAAAAGUUGGUUGGGCAUAGUGGCUCACACCUGUAAUUCCAACACUUUGGGAGGCCAAGGCAGGUGGAUCACCUGAGGUCAGUAGUUUGAGACCAGCCUGACCAAUAUGGUGAAACCCCAUCUCUACUAAAAAAUAUAAAAAUUAUCCGGGUGUGGUGGCGUGCAUCUGUAGUCCCAGCUACUUGGGAGGCUGACAGGAGAUUUCUUGAACCCAGGAGAUGGAGGUUGCAGUGAGCCGAGGCUGCGCCACUGCACUCCAGUCUGGGCGACAGAGUGAGACUCUGUCUCAAAAAAAAAAAAAAGAAAAGUUAUGGGAGGCCACUGUUUUGAACUGAGCUCCUGCACUAGGCCCCACACACCAGACCAAAAUGAAAUGGAAUCACCCAUGCUAAAUGCCACACAAUCAAACUGAAACUUUAAGGAAGCAGAUAGAUCCCAAAACAGACCAGCUAUUCCUGAAAAUGGGAGAUUUCAGUCUAACUGAGUCAGGGUAGCCUUUAAUCCUUUACAAAAAAAGAACCUGGCCAGGCGCAGUGGCUCACGCCUUUAAUCCCAGCACUUCGGGAGGCCAAGGUGGGCGGAUCACCUGAAGUCAGGAGUCUGAGACCAGCCUGGCCAACAUGGCAAAACCCUGUCGCUAUUAAAAAUACAAAAAUUAGCUGGGCAUGGUGGUGCAUGCCUGUAAUUCCAGCUACUCAGGAGGCUGAAGCAGGAAAAUCACUUGAAUUUGGUGGGCAGAGAUUGCAGUGAGAUCCGCGGCACCGCACUCCAGCCUGGGCAACAAAGAGAGAGUCCGUCUCAAAAAAAAAAAACAAAACCUUGAAGUAACCUGAUGUUAACCAAUGAGCUUUUUUUUUUUUCUAUUGUUUCCUUGAUCUCACCUUAAAAAACCCGCUGUUCUACCACUGCCCAGUGGGAGCUCUCAUUCUAUUUUGUAGAAUGGAGGCUGCCCAGAUUCAUGAAUCACAAAUAAAAGCCAAUUAGAUCUAUAAUGAAGUUUGUUAUAAUUUUGUCUUUUGACAAGUGCUUUGUAAGCUACACAGGCCCAUUCAAAAUUAGAGGAUUACCCCAGGGCUCUGUAAGCAGCUCUUCUUUGGGGCAGUGGGAUUCUAUGAAAGGCUAAGAGAGUGACUG
rnacentral:lncRNA from 1 species